UGAGGAAUAUUGGUCAAUGGGCGCAAGCCUGAACCAGCCAUCCCGCGUGCAGGAAGACGGCGCUAUGCGUUGUAAACUGCUUUUCCAGGGGGAGAAACUUCCGUACGUGUACGGAAUUGACGGUACCCUGGGAAUAAGCAUCGGCUAACUCCGUGCCAGCAGCCGCGGUAAUACGGAGGAUGCAAGCGUUAUCCGGAUUCAUUGGGUUUAAAGGGUGCGUAGGCGGACUAUUAAGUCAGUGGUGAAAUCCUGCAGCUUAACUGCAGAACUGCCAUUGAUACUGAUGGUCUUGAGUUUGGUUAAGGUAGGCGGAAUGUGUAAUGUAGCGGUGAAAUGCUUAGAUAUUACACAGAACACCAAUUGCGUAGGCAGCUUACUGAGCCGACACUGACGCUGAGGCACGAAAGCGUGGGGAUCGAACAG
rnacentral:rRNA from 1 species